GAUUGCCUUAGUAGCGGCGAGUGAAGCGGCAAAAGCUCAAAUUUGAAAUCUGGCACUUUCAGUGUCCGAGUUGUAAUUUGAAGAAGGUAUCUUUGGGUCUGGCUCUUGUCUAUGUUUCUUGGAACAGAACGUCACAGAGGGUGAGAAUCCCGUGCGAUGAGAUGUCCCAGACCUAUGUAAAGUUCCUUCGAAGAGUCGAGUUGUUUGGGAAUGCAGCUCUAAGUGGGUGGUAAAUUCCAUCUAAAGCUAAAUAUUGGCGAGAGACCGAUAGCGAACAAGUACAGUGAUGGAAAGAUGAAAAGAACUUUGAAAAGAGAGUGAAAAAGUACGUGAAAUUGUUGAAAGGGAAGGGCUUGAGAUCAGACUUGGUAUUUUGUAUGUUACUCUCUCGGGGGUGGCCUCUACAGUUUACCGGGCCAGCAUCAGUUUGGGCGGUAGGACAAUUGCAAAGAAAUGUGGCACUGCCUCGGUAGUGUGUUAUAGUCUUUGUCGAUACUGCCAGCCUAGACUGAGGACUGCGGCUUCGGCCUAGGAUGUUGGCAUAAUGAUCUUAAGUCGCCCG
rnacentral:rRNA from 1 species